CCUGGCUCAGGACGAACGCUGGCGGCGUGCCUAAUACAUGCAAGUCGAACGGUCUUUCUAUGGAAGCUUGCUUCCACUGAGAAGAUAGUGGCGAACGGGUGAGUAACACGUGGGUAACCUGCCCAUAAGAGGGGGAUAACAUCCGGAAACGGGUGCUAAUACCGCAUAGUUUUCUUGAUCGCAUGAUCGGGAAAGGAAAGACGGCCUUUGUGCUGUCGCUUAUGGAUGGACCCGCGGCGUAUUAGUUAGUUGGUGAGGUAAUGGCUCACCAAGACGAUGAUACGUAGCCGACCUGAGAGGGUGAUCGGCCACAUUGGGACUGAGACACGGCCCAAACUCCCACGGGAGGCAGCAGUAGGGAAUCUUCCGCAAUGGACGAAAGUCUGACGGAGCAACGCCGCGUGAGUGAAGAAAGGUUUUCGGAUCGUAAAACUCUGUUGUCAGAGAAGAACAAGUUGGAGAGUAACUGCUCCAGCCUUGACGGUAUCUGACCAGAAAGCCACGGCUAACUACGUGCCAGCCGCCGC
rnacentral:rRNA from 1 species